AUGUGGCCUCUUUUGAGAAACCUUAACAACACAAGAAAGAGUUCAAAGGUUGCUGAUGAAAACAUGUUCCAACAAGGAAACAAUGUUGUUGAGGGAAGAGGAAUAAGGAGACAACAUCAUGGUUGGGGGAAUAUAGUGUUUAGUAUUCUUCAAGCUCCUAUUUCAAUACUUUCAUGUGUUUCUCAUCCUCAAGUUAAUGGUUCUGAUGGUGUUUGGGUAAGUGGUGGUGAAUUUUCACAAAUUUCUGAAAUGAAUCAUCUUAUGGUAAAUGAUAGCAUGAGAUAUGCAAUUUUGAUGUAA